CAGUCGCCGCGGGAAUACGGAGGGUGCGAGCGUUAAUCGGAAUUACUGGGCGUAAAGCGCACGCAGGCGGUUUGUUAAGUCAGAUGUGAAAUCCCCGAGCUUAACUUGGGAACUGCAUUUGAAACUGGCAAGCUAGAGUCUUGUAGAGGGGGGUAGAAUUCCAGGUGUAGCGGUGAAAUGCGUAGAGAUCUGGAGGAAUACCGGUGGCGAAGGCGGUCCCCUGGACAAAGACUGACGCUCAGGUGCGAAAGCGUGGGGAGCAAACAGGAUUAGAUACCCCUGUAGUCCCUGUCUCUUAUAA
rnacentral:rRNA from 1 species